UUUCGCAAUGCCCGAAAGGGUGACGAAGCGACGCCGCGUGCGGGAAGAAGGCCUUCGGGUGUAAACCGCUGUCGGGAGUUAGGAAGUGCAAGGAUGUUAAUAGCGUUCUUGCUUGACUAAGGCUCCGGAGGAAGCCACGGCUAACUCUGUGCCAGCAGCCGCGGUAAUACAGAGGCGGCAAGCGUUGUUCGGAAUUAUUGGGCGUAAAGAGCACGUAGGCGGCUGUGUAAGUCGGUUGUGAAAGCCUUCCGCUUAACGGAAGAACGGCAUCCGAUACUGCAUAGCUUGAGUGCGGGAGGGGAGAGUGGAACUUCUGGUGGAGCGGUGAAAUGCGUAGAUAUCAGAAGGAACACCGGCGGCGAAGGCGACUCUCUGGUCCGUAACUGACGCUGAGUGUGCGAAAGCUAGGGGAGCAAACGGGAUUAGAUACCCCGGUAGUCCUAGCCGUAAACGAUGGGCACUAAGUAGAGGGGUUUU
rnacentral:rRNA from 1 species